rnacentral:rRNA from 1 species
UAAGGAAUAUUGGACAAUGGAGGGAACUCUGAUCCAGCCAUGCCGCGUGAAGGAUGAAUGCGCUCAGCGUUGUAAACUUCUUUUGGAUGGGAACAAAAACUUCGACGUGUCGGAGCCUGAGGGUACCAUCAGAAUAAGCACCGGCUAACUCCGUGCCAGCAGCCGCGGUAAUACGGAGGGUGCAAGCGUUAUCCGGAAUCACUGGGUUUAAAGGGUGCGUAGGCGGUCAGAUAAGUCAGUUGUGAAAUACCCCGGCUUAACCGGUGGAACUGCGAUUGAUACUGUUUGACUUGAAUCAGGUUGAGGUAGGCGGAAUGAGGCAUGUAGCGGUGAAAUGCUUAGAUAUGCCAUAGAACACCGAUUGCGAAGGCAGCUUGCUGGACCUGUAUUGACGCUGAGGCACGAAAGCGUGGGGAGCAAA